GUAAUCGCGAAUCAGAAUGUCGCGGUGAAUACGUUCCCGGGUCUUGUACACACCGCCCGUCACACCAUGGGAGUCGGAUAUGCCCGAAGUCAGUGACCCAACCAUAUGGAGGGAGCUGCCGAAGGUGGAGCCGAUAACUGGGGUGAAGUCGUAACAAGGUACC
rnacentral:rRNA from 1 species